rnacentral:rRNA from 1 species
GAUGAACGCUGGCGGCGUGCUUAACACAUGCCAGUCGAACGGAAAGGCACAAGCUUGCUUGGGUACUCGAGUGGCGAACGGGUGAGUAACACGUGGGUGAUCUGCCCUGCACUUCGGGAUAAGCUUGGGAAACUGGGUCUAAUACUGGAUAGGACCACUCCUUGGAUGUUGUGGUGGAAAGUUUUUUCGGUGUGGGGUGAGCUCGCGGCCGAACAGCUUGUUGGUGGGGUGAUGGCCAACGAAGACGUCGACGGGUAGCCGGCCUGAGAGGGUGUGCGGCCGCACUGAGUCUGACAUACGGCCCCGACUCCUACGGGUGGCAGAAGGGGGGAAGCUUGAUCAAUGGGCGCCGGCCGGAUGCAGCGAGGCCGCGUGGGGUAUAACGGUCUUGGUGUUGUAAACACCUUUCGCUAGGAACGAAGCGUUUUGUGACGGUACCUGGAGAAGAAGCACCGGCUAACUACGUG